ensembl:lncRNA
CUAUUAGAUUGACUGAUGUGUCUGAUGUCAUUUGAGAUGAAUAGUUGCCUUUGAAAAGAUUGCACACGAUUUAGGUCACAUGACUUUUCCUAGAAGUUAUCGGCAUUUGGCCGAAUAAAAAAAAAAUGCCUCACAGUUUCAGCAUAUUUCAACAACAAGACCGAAGAAGUUGGAAUGUACUGCCUCCGUGGAUUGUUUUUGAAAUGUACUAAUAAGCGAUAUUAAUUUGUAAUAAUGAGGAGGAUAAGGGCUAGAAUGCUUUGAGUGAAAUACUCAGGCCGAUUUCUUUCUACGUUUUAUUACUUAUCAAACACUUUAUAAUACAGAUCUGGCAAACGCGUUAAUCAUUAUCAUCAUCUUCCUGCCAAUACAAAGAAUGCAGAAUCUUUAUUAACUGACUUUUAAUGAAGCUUCUCUUGGCCGGAUGGACUUGCAGUGAAACGCACCUUUAAUAUACUCAAGCGCCGGUUAAUACAGGGAUGAAUCAGCAUGGAUGACCUUUUAACCUUGUCGCUUGGAGAUGGAAGAUAUUUUCCUGUGUUGCUUCUGCUUUUAUUGAAAAGUUAGCUGGAGUGGCUUUGCGAGAUUUAUGUAUUUGCUAGAUACGUAAAGUUAGUUUUUGCCUCUUUGAGAUGUUUUGCUGAGAUGUUAAGGAUUCGUUUAAAAACAGCUAGACGGUUGCAGACAGUCGGUUAUAAUCCACUACGUUCUUAUCCAUAACGUUGACGUACCGAGGCCUCGUCUUUGCGAAUAUUUUUUUUUCUUCAUUACUAUCAAAGACUCGGAUUCCAAAACUGUUAACUGUGACACCCCCAGAGUCCCCGAAGUGUAAAUGUGCUGCACUACUACUUUUGUUAUACUUCUGUAUAGUCAGCGUUUAUAGAUUUAACAAGCGAAAUACGGCCGUGUGCUGCUUCGUUUACUGCCGAUGAUGUGAGCAGCCAUGGUGAUUUGAUGUCACUUGCUGAACUCGGAGUUGAGGAGACCAUCCAGAGUUCCCGAGGAGGAAUUCAGAGUUGAGGGGGCGGAAAUUACGAGAUACGACCUUCAGUCGAACGCAGCAUGAUCCAUGUUACCAGGCUGUGCUUUUUCUCUCUACUGCCGUAUUUAGAUGCACUAAUGCUCCGUUCGUGGUACAGGGGGUUUGCCUGUCAAAAAAUGCGAGUUCAUGUAAAAAUCAUGAAACGUUGCAGGUAUCAAACCCGGCUUCCACUGGCGGUCCGUCUAAUUUAACUUUACCUUUAAAACUUGACGGCCUUCUUUAAAUAUAAUAAUAAAAAAUAAAUCUAAUAAAAUUCACUGAAUACUAAUUUCUACCUCGGAUAGUGAUCACAUGACACUUUUUUUGUCUUCUUAAUAUCCUUUUCUACAGUUGCAAAAAAUAACAUUAGAUGUUCACUGAACCGGUACAUUACCACCAAAAUCACAGCACUGUCAGAAUAAGCUGCUGUCCAGGUGAAACUUUGUUUCCCGAUUUAUUUAUCACUAAUGUAUGAUGUAAGAAAACUUUCAGAGAGAGAGCCUACCAGCGCUGUUGUGUUUUAGAAAACUAAAACGUAUACACGAUCAAGUUUUGUAAAACUACUUGUACAAAUUUUCCAACCUGAUUUAGAACCUGAUUUAAAUUCCUAAAACAUUUCUACAACGAUAUUUGUAGUGUGAUGGGGUGGUUUUUUUUUUUUUUUUUUUUUUUUUUUUUUUUUCUUCUAAUGCAGUUUAAGAUUUAUAUCACAGAUCGGUCGUAAUUUAAUUUAACAAACAUUCAUGGUCAUCUUUCACACUUUGUUUCUACUGAACUGAACUAAAGCGCCUGAAAAGUAUUACCAUUUCUAUAACACACACUGUAUCCGUAUGAAACAACAUUCAGUGUUAAAAUGCGCAGAAAGAUGCUGUUUGUGUUCUUAUUUCUUUUAUUUUUAUUUUUUUAUUUUUUAUUUUUUUUUACACCAGGGAGUUUCUUCUCCGUUUACUUUUUUUUUUUGUAUAAAGUUUCUUCGUUAAGGAAGAAAGACGGUGAAUAAAAUUGUUCAUUGUUUGCAUGCAAUAAAACAUUAACGAUAGUUUGUGG